rnacentral:antisense_RNA from 1 species
GAUGGUGUUGGGUAGAGGAGAAAGCAGGGUGGGGCUGAGAUGGGCAGGCUUAUACCUGGUCCUCCUAAUGGCCAGUACAAGUGCCAGCCCUGAUGGGGGUUGGAGGACAGUUCUCAAGCCACUGGAGCAAUAGUUCAGGGAGAAGUGGAGCAAACUCUUUCUGUUCCAACUAACCAGCAUGGGGAAAGUGGGGUGGCUCAGGUUCCAUAGCGUAGCAGGUGGUAGUGAGACCUGCCUUGCUCUCAUGCUCUCAACCUAGUGGGAUACCAUCCUAUGGCCUGCCACUGGCAUCGAGCUGAGGCAGCCAGCCAAAUCACAAGCUGUUUGUCUUUGGACUGCAAUAUAGCCCCAGGCCAUAAAACUGUGGCUCCCAGGUGAAACUCUUCCCAGCCCAAUUCCAGGAUGGGGAGGUUCCCGAAUCCCAUAACCUUGGCUGGAGCCAAUGCCACACUUGCUUAUCAGUUCUGGCCUGGUUCCCGGGACUGUGCAUAGUCUGCUAAAAGCAGAUGAGAAUUUCACAAAAUGCCACGUUAUCACAAAUUUCUGAAGAGGCUGACAGGUUAUUAAUGAGGAUAAAUCACAUUGAAUAAAGUAUUCCUGUUAAGUGGUUCUGCAGCCUCUGAAUCGGCUGGGAAGUUGUUGGACAUGAGAAUUCUUAGGCUCCUGCCCAGAUCUAACAAAUCACAAUCUCAGGAGGUGGGGCCCAGCACCUUGUAUGUUCCUAAGUCCUCCAGCUGACUGGAUGGGGACACUUGCUCUCAGGAAUCUACACUGGUCCCCCAUUGAUGCCAGGGGGUGCAAUGGGCAUCCUACUUCUAGUGGGCAUCAAGACUUCUACAUGUCUUGAUCAUGUUUCUUCAUUUAGAAUAAACUUCUUUUCUUGCUAAUCAA